rnacentral:rRNA from 1 species
AGAGUUUGAUUCUGGCUCAGGAUGAACGCUGGCGGCGUGCCUAACACAUGCAAGUCGAACGAAGCAUUUAAGACGGAUUUCUUCGGAAGGAAGACUUUUAUGACUGAGUGGCGGACGGGUGAGUAACGCGUGGGCAACCUGCCCCGCACCGGGGGACAACAGCCGGAAACGGCUGCUAAUACCGCAUAAGCGCACAGCUCCGCAUGGAGCAGUGUGAAAAAUUCCGGUGGUGCGGGAUGGGCCCGCGUCUGAUUAGCUGGUUGGCGGGGCAACGGCCCACCAAGGCGACGAUCAGUAGCCGGCCUGAGAGGGCGGACGGCCACAUUGGGACUGAGACACGGCCCAGACUCCUACGGGAGGCAGCAGUGGGGAAUAUUGCACAAUGGGGGAAACCCUGAUGCAGCGACGCCGCGUGAGCGAAGAAGUAUUUCGGUAUGUAAAGCUCUAUCAGCAGGGAAGAAAAUGACGGUACCUGACUAAGAAGCUCCGGCUAAAUACGUGCCAGCAGCCGCGGUAAUACGUAUGGAGCAAGCGUUAUCCGGAUUUACUGGGUGUAAAGGGAGCGUANGCGGCCUGGCAAGUCUGGUGUGAAAUACCGGGGCCCAACCCCGGGGCUG